GUGCAGCAGCCGCGGUAAUACGUAGGGUGCAAGCGUUGUCCGGAAUUAUUGGGCGUAAAGAGCUCGUAGGCGGUCUGUCGCGUCGGCUGUGAAAACCCGAGGCUCAACCUCGGGCCUGCAGUCGAUACGGGCAAACUAGAGUAUUGCAGGGGAGACUGGAAUUCCUGGUGUAGCGGUGAAAUGCGCAGAUAUCAGGAGGAACACCGGUGGCGAAGGCGGGUCUCUGGGCAAUAACUGACGCUGAGGAGCGAAAGCGUGGGGAGCGAACAGGAUUAGAUACCCUGGUAGUCCACGCCGUAAACGUUGGGCGCUAGAUGUGGGGGCCAUUCCACGGUCUCCGUGUCGGCAGCUAACGCAUUAAGCGCCCCGCCUGGGGAGUACGGCCGCAAGGCUAAAAACUCAAAGGAAUUGACGGGGGCCCGCACAAGCGGCGGAGCAUGUUGCUUAAUUCGAUGCAACGCGAAGAACCUUACCUAGGCUUGACAUGCACGGAAAUCCCGUAGAGAUGCGGGGUCCUUUAAAGGGUCGUGCACAGGUGGUGCAUGGUUGUCGUCAGCUCGUGUCGUGAGAUGUUGGGUUAAGUCCCGCAACGAGCGCAACCCUCGUUCUAUGUUGCCAGCACGUGAUGGUGGGGACUCAUAGGAGACUGCCGGGGUCAACUCGGAGGAAGGUGGGGAUGACGUCAAAUCAUCAUGCCCCUUAUGUCUAGGGCUGCAAACAUGCUACAAUGGCCGGUACAAAGGGCUGCGAUACCGCGAGGUGGAGCGAAUCCCAAAAAGCCGGUCUCAGUUCGGAUUGGGGUCUGCAACUCGACCCCAUGAAGUUGGAGUCGCUAGUAAUCGCAGAUCAGCAACGCUGCGGUGAAUACGUUCCCGGGCCUUGUACACACCGCCCGUCACGUCACGAAAGUCGGUAACGCCCGGAGCCGGUGGCCCAACCCUUGUGGAGGGAGCCGUCGAAGGCGGGAUCGGCGAUUGGGACGAAGUCGUAACAAGGUAACC
rnacentral:rRNA from 1 species